AGUCUGGUGCCAGCAGCGGCGGUAAUUCCAGCUCCAAUAGCGUAUAUUAAAGUUGUUGCAGUUAAAAAGCUCGUAGUUGGACUUGUGUGCGCUGUCCGCGGGUGGCCUGCGCCCAAAAGGGCGUUUCGGUUCGGCCCCGGUGGCGCCUUGAAAUCUGCAGCUGGGGGGACGUUGGCCUUAACUGGUCGGCGACACGCCGGCUGCUCGGUUACUGUGAGAAAAUUAGAGUGUUCAAGGCAGGCAUUGGGUGCAAUUGAAUACAUUAGCAUGGAAUAAUAAAAUAUGGCUCCUGCCGUAUUUUGUUGGUUUUGACUGGUGGGAGUAAUGAUUGAUAGGGACGGUUGGGGGUGCUAGUAUUGAGCGGCCAGAGGUGAAAUUCAUGGAUUCGCUCAAGACUAACUUAUGCGAAAGCAUUCACCAAGGACGUCCUCUUUAAUCAAGAACGAAAGUUGGGGGAUCGAAGACGAUCAGAUACCGUCGUAGUCUCAACCAUAAACUAUGUCGACUUGGGAUCGGCGGUAGUUUUUUCAUUAAGACACUGUCGGGACCACGGGAGAAAUCAAAGUGUCUGGACUCUGGGGGAAGUAUGGUCGCAAGGCUGAAACUUGAAGGAAUUGACGGAAGGGCACCACCAGGAGUGGAGCCUGCGGCUUAAUUUGACCUAACACGGGGAAACUUACCAGGUCCAGAGAUGUAGAGGAUUGACAGAUUGAAGCUCUUUCUUGAUCACUUCGGUGGUGGUGCAUGGCCGUUCUUAGUUGGUGGAGUGAUUUGUCUGGUUAAUUCCGUUAACGAACGAGACCUCAGCCUGCUAGUGUAGUCGGCUGGAUUGCCUUUGGCGAUCCGUGAUUUCGACUUCUUAGAGGGACAAUCGACGCGCAGUCGAUGGAAGUUUGAGGCAAUAACAGGUCUGUGAUGCCCUUAGAUGUUCUGGGCCGCACGCGCGCUACACUGCUGGGCUCAGCGAGUUUUACUUGGCCGAGAGGCCCGGUUAAUCUUGUGAAAUCCCAGCGUUCUUGGGCUCGCCUCCUGCAACUGGAGGCGCCAACGAGGAAUUCCUAGUAGACGCAGGUCAUCAACCUGCAUCGAUUACGUCCCUGCCCUUUGUACACACCGCCCGUCGUUCCAUAAGAGUGAGGCAUCCGGUGAAUUCUCGGGAGAGCCUGGGUGUGGCCAGCAAUGGUCUGCUCGGGUUUGAACUUGCAUAAACUUGGUGCCUAUGAUUAGGGAAAAGUCGUAACAAGGUUUCCGUAGGUUCCUGCGGAAG
rnacentral:rRNA from 1 species